GACCCUCCAACAGAAAUGUAUUAAUUAAGUAGAUGCCGUAUGUGUAUUCUCAUAUCGAUCAAGCUGAGUGGAUUCUUUCGCGAAGCAAUAGAAACAGCGCUGGGUGAACUAAUAUUUUAUGUUAAAUUGGGGGGGUCCAAACGAAUAAUUAUGAAAUGUGAGGGGGACACGUCCCCCUAAGAUUUAAUGGCGGCGACGCCCAUGGGUCUGCGGAGUGUUGAAAAGUCUUAAACUCGAGUUGAACCAAUUAAGGUCUUAAAAAUUCAGAAACUUGAGUUUACUAUUUUUUACAUUUUGAAGUCGAACAUAUUUUAGUCCGAUGAAAAAUGUUUUUUAAGUUGAAAUGUGACUGACUCUUAAGGGGUAGGCCUAUAGCCAACUACGAAGUCGGUUUAGGCAGAUUACUUUUGGGUUCAUUUUUAGUACAGUGAGUGUCCGGGUUAAUAAGGUGCGACUGACGCACUUGCAAACGGAUGGACAUAUGGCCCAAUAUAUUAAAAAUUUUGACUGGAAUAGAAUAGUUGAUAAUCCACGCGCGCACUAUUUUGUGACGCCCAUAAGAACAUUGCGCGGGCUCAGCGGUUCUUGUAACGUUACGUCGCGAAUGCCGCUGCCGGGAUGCCAGACGGCGAUGGAGCGACGAUCCAGUGCAGCAUGCUGGGAAGGAUGCAAAUUCGAAUCCUCUCCUGAGUAAUUUAUUGGUCGACUGGGAGAGGAAUCCAGUAGGUGUCGAUGACAACUUCCUGCCAGUUUCUUGCUGGGAUAUCCAACUUCCUGUUUAAUGGUGGUCGGCAAACACAAUGGAGCAAUCGGGGUUGUUGUUCAGCUGUUCUCUCAAAAAUCUUCCACAAAUGACCAUGGCACACGUUACACGAUCAGUGGAAAGCCGCAUACCAUCGAAAAAACUUGAAAAGGGGCACAAAUAUUUUCAUAAAAAUUCUUUUCAAAGGUGCAGGUCACUUUACAGGUUGAGCCUGUGCAGUUAAACAGCACAUUAUGCUCAUGCACUGCAGGGAAAGCACUGUGCGCCGACCUGCUCGCCUUGCUUUUCCAGUGUGCACAUGGUAGUAUGAUGAAAAUCCAGACAGCCCCAUCAAGAGUGCCAUGUGCUGACUCUCUGCAGACCUGACAUCGGCCAAGGACUUGGGUAAUUUGCAUUCGUUUAUGUGAUAUGCAUUUCAUAAUAAAACAUUAUUUUUGUAUUUUUUAUAAAUUCA